rnacentral:tRNA from 1 species
GCACCCAUGGAGCAGUAGUAUAGCUCAUUCCCCUCCCAAGGGAAAGACCCGGGUGCAAAUCCCGGUGGGUGCA